UUAUGAUUUCCUUGUAUGAUGAUGAUAAUAAUAGAUAUACUGACAUUAAUUCCAAGAAGCUUUGGAAGGAUGAGUUUUGGUGAUAUUGCAAACUGGUAUUUUCUUAAUACUAAUUAUUUUUAAUCUUGGGUCUUCAUGAGGAUUUUUUGGUGGUUUUAGCCCGUCAAUUUUGUGGCUUUCUUCCUUGCUUUUGGCGGUUUGGUGUUGGUUUUUUGGUUGGCCAUCCUAUCUAGAUACACCGACAGUUAUUUCAAGAAUCUAUAUAGAAGGAUCGGAUUUUGGUGCCAUUGCCAGGCGUGGAACUGGUAUUCUCAAAUUUUCUUGAUACUCGUUAUUUGUAUAGUCGGGGUUUUUCAUGAUUUAUGGGUUGUUUUAGCUGCUCGUUACCCCUCCUUUUUUGGGACCAAUCUCUUUCUGCUCGAUUUUAUUUACUUCAUCUAGAUUUUUUGCCCUGGUUUUAUUUCCUCCUGUUCAGAUUUUUUAUAGGUCCGGAUCUGUUUUAGUGAUUAAGACAUGGAGUUGUUUGGACGCAAAUUUUUGCACCUGGAAUCUCUUUAUUUGGUUUUAAGUGCAUGCGAUUUCAACUGCCAUCAGAAAAUUUAGGUGUGAACUGUUAAUUAUCAGAAAGUGGUGUUACUGGUGGGGGUGCAGUGGAGCCUACUUUUGUGAUUUUGGGUUUUUAUUUUUUAUCAUUUGACCCAUACAAAAGGCUUUCUUUGGUGUUUCUCUAUGAGUUUAUUUGGUUCUCAGGAAUUGCAUCAAGUGGUUUUCAGGAUGGUGGUGAAGCAAUUAUUUAUAUGGUUUUCGGUGGUCUUAUUGAACUAUGUUCUGUUAGUUGCAUGGAUUAUGAUCUUCACAUUUAUAAUGGGAAAACCGUUUUCUGUUGUGAUUCUUCAUCCGCUGAUGGAAGUCGUCGUGAUUAUGGAUAUUAAUAAAAAUGGGUGUAAGAUUCUCAGAUGUUUUACUUGAUUUCUUGUUCAAUGGUCUCAGCUUGUGCUUGGGGGGAGUUCAGGUGGACACUGGUUAUUUUAUAAGGUGUUCUGGAGGGGAAACCUAGUCGUUGUUUACUGCAGCCACGGCCCACGCUUACGAUGUUGAUUUGUAACCUCUCUCAGACUGUGCUCAUGUAGAGCUUUUUUUGGGUCUUUUCAUAUAAAAUGCCUUAGGUUAUUUGAUGUUUUUUUUCACAUGCAGGCAGAUUCGACGAGAAGAGUAAUGUGUGAUAGGGAAACUUUUGGGUCUCAGGGUGUCAUCAAUCUAUUUGUAUUUUCUAUCCUUUUACCAUCAUUUCUUAUUCCAUUCAAUUUUCCCCCUCUUUUCAGCUUCCUGCCUUUUUCCGUUUCUGUUUGCAGAAACUGCUUAUAAAAUUGCUGUGGUGACCAUCCGAUCUUUCAAGCUUUUGUCGGCUGUUUUGGAAACUUCAGCUGCUAAUUUCAUGGUCUUCGUUUGGUUUGUUGAAAAUACUUCCUAUCCUUUUCUAUAACCCUUGAUCCAGAUGGGUACCUACUAGAUAGGGUGGCAGACUGGCAGUUGGCAUUGAUAAGAACAGAACUCUAAGUUUGGGCAAGAUUGAUGAAAUAUUGAACUCUUCGAAGGAACACAGUUUCGCUAAUAUCGGAGGUGCAAUAACUUGUUUUCGUAACAUUCUUUCCUAGUAUUUUUGAGCACUCGGGUUUCAUUGUUAUCCUAUUUCUAAUAUAUACUGAUCCAUUACCCUUUUUUGAGUAAGCACCCUUUAUAGUUGGAUAUGAUGUUUCUUUCUAUAUUUCCUUUUUCUUCUCUACUUCUGUAGAGAACUACCCUACGUUAGUAGGCGGCGACAGUUCAAUCUACUACAACUUUUGUAGCAUUGAAAUUGCAGGAUGAUGGGAGGAUUUUUUGCACCUGCUUGUUUGUAUGAAGUUCAUUCUCUCUUUCCUUGAACUCAAAUUUUACCUGCAAUUCUGCAUUUACUAAUGGAUAAGAGUAUUCACAAUUCUGCACCUGCUCGUCAGUUUUCCUUGUACGUAUCUUAUCUCUGAAGGGGUAUUAUGAGAUGAGGUCGACAGGCAGACUUAUGUUUCACUUGGUUAGAACAUCUAUUCCGAAUACUUCUACUGUUUAUGCUUAGUGUUCAUAGUGAAAGGCAAUUCUGAAGCUAAAUAAUUAUUUCCUGUGGUUUGUUUAGGAUAAUAUUUUCACAUGAUGUUUAAGUUGUACUCUUAUAUUUCUAAAUAAUUUAGGUGUUCGCAGAUGAUAUUUGGGUGGACAGUGACACCAUAUGGAGAAGGGGCACGAAAUUUUCAACUCAUGUUUUUGAUCUUCAGUGAUAGUAGCAUUUGUUGUCCCCUUUGAGACGAUGGUAUUCUGUCGUGGUAACCUCUUCACGCUCGACUUUUUUCACUAUAAGUAGAUUUUUAUCCUUGUUUAUUUCCUCUCCCUCAGAU
rnacentral:lncRNA from 1 species